AGAUGUUUUGAACAGAUGACCUGGACGGACUCCAGCGGGAAGCGAGCCAUCUGAAGCACAGAGACAGCCGUAAAUAAAAUAAACAGACAGUCUGCAGAAUCUAUUACACACACUGAGAUUUAACUUGAUCCACAGACAGAACAUACAAGUAUUACUGCCAUCACUCCCCUGGUUCAAGACGUCCUGUAAGACACUGAACACAAACUGAAUGUUUCUGUUUCAACCUCAGAGGGAAAACUGAAGCAGCAGAUUUUGGUUGUCAGAAAACAGAUCUCAGGCCACGUUUUGGCUCAAAAUUCAAUUUAAUCAGCAGUAAAUUUGCUGGUUUUAUGUCUGAACUGGAGAAAAUAGUUAAUUUGCUGCUCUAACAAGACAAACGCGUUAAUUUCAGCUGCAUCACUGAUGAACUAAACACCAAUUUAAAGUGAUAAAGACAAAAAUCCAACUUCAUGCAACAUCAUCUUACAGGACUUCUACACAUUUUCCAAUUUAAAAAUCUUUCCUAGACUUUUUUCCACACUUUGAGUACAUAUAACUGAUGUCUAUAAUUGCUUUAAAAUCCAACUUUUAAAAAAUACAGUAGUGGAAAAAAGUUUUUAGACACUCCAUGCAUUUGUGAAAUACUGCAUUAAGAAUCAUCCUUCGGUCUUCAAGUGUAAUCUAUUUUAGUCCAGUCACAGCCAAAAUACUAAACAAAUCCUAAAAAAAGCCACUAAAAACUUAAAAUGGAUUGGUUCCAUAAAAAUGCAGAAAAAUUUUUGAGUAUUGGGUCAUUUUGGUUGCAAUGAUCCACUAAUGAAGGUCGUGCUUUUUAUUUAAAGACAAUUUUUGUUGCCGUGCUUCGUGUCUACGUAAAGCAGCACAUUUUAAAGUUCUUUAGAGACAAAAAUGGCUAAAACAAGGAACCUAACACAGGAAACACGCCUGAAGAUCCAGAUUCACAGCCUGGAAGGGUACAGCUGCUGCCAGAUAGCCAGGAAGUACAGAUGCAGUCCUUCAGCAGUUGGUCACUCUGCAGAAACACAGCUUGGAAGAUCUGGGCAUCCAAGGGUUUCUUCAGCAAGAAAUGACCACAUCCUUAUCCGCAUGUUCAGGGAAAACCAUCCAAUGACAUCACAGGAGUUUCAGGAGCAGUGGUAAAACCAAACUGGUGUCCAGUGUUCCACCAGCACUGUACCUGGCCGACUUUAAGAUCAUGGCUUAAGGUCCUACAAGGCUGUCAAGAAGCCUCUGAUCAGUGAGACAGAGGUUAGCCCGGUGUCGUUGGGCCCAAGAACACAAGAAGUGGACAGACAGGAACUGGAAGAAGAUUCUGUGGUCAGAUGAGUCCAGUUUCCAGCUUUAUCUUCUUCCUGCUAACGUGAGGUUACACAGAAGGUCAGGAGAAGCAUCAUCUCCAGGCAGCUUAAACCAACAUUUCCA
ensembl:lncRNA